GCCUGCCCAGUGACCAUGUGUUCAACGGCCGCGGUAUUCUGACCGCGCGAAGGUAGCGUAAUCACUUGUCUUCUAAAUAAAGACUAGUAUGAACGGCCACACGAAGACUUAACUGUCUCCCCUGUCCAAUCAGUGAAACUGAUCUCCUUGUGCAGAAGCGAGGAUGAACCCAUAAGACGAGAAGACCCUAUGGAGCUUUAAACUUAAUAUUAACUAUUUCUAUAACCCCCCUCUAAGGAAUUAACAAAUAACCCUUUUCAACUUAAUAUUAGUUUUAGGUUGGGGCGACCAUGGAGAAAAAAAUAUCCUCCCUGAUGACUUUUAAACCAAGAGCUACAGCUCUAAGUAUUAAGAUACUUAACUUCCAUUGACCCAUUUUAUGAUCAACGAACCAAGUUACCCUAGGGAUAACAGCGCAAUCCAUUUCAAGAGUCCCUAUCGACAAAUGGGUUUACGACCUCGAUGUUGGAUCAGGGCAUCCCAGUGGUGCAACCGCUACUAAUGGUUCGUUUGUUCAACGAUUAAAGCCCU
rnacentral:rRNA from 1 species